AUUUGUGCUAUUCGAGGUCUGGUGUGAUGGGGAUAUGCGUAGUAUUGGUAAACUGUUGCGAAUCCUAUUGUCGCAUAACAAGGACUCCCAGAUGUGGAUGUGUAUUUUUCGUACCUGUCAUGAACAGAAAGCAAUUUGAGAACUUGAGUUUCUUUGCGGAUUACAAAAGUAACGGAGAAAAUUUCGGUGACGGUAACGCAAUUUUUCACUAAACAUUCAGAUAAAAAUUAUGGAACGCACCAAAAAAAAUUAUUACAUAGGUUUUUGUCGUGAAUUGCGGAAUGAAAAAUGAAAAAUAUGGGCAAAUUUGAGGUUUGAAAAAAUUGAUAAUUUAUGGAAAAAAAUGUCAAAGAAGGAUUCAUCCAGAAAAAUAUGAAAAUUAACUGAUUUGCCAUCAACUUUUGUCUUCAAAAAACAGUAAAUCAAACAUGCACCCAAUACAAAUAUUUUCAACGAAGAAUCCUCAUAAUUUUAGAAUAAAAAAUUGGAGAGAGAUGGAGUUUCAUUAAGAGUCUAUUUCCUCCCCUCAUAAGGGUUGGAGACAGUUUUAUAUAGGAGCCGCUAAGAUACAAAAAAUGUUACAAGACUCUGCUGAAAAAAUAUUUAAACAAAUUCAGAAUAAAAUCCAACUAGAAUAAAUACGAAGGAAGACCUGUUUUCCAGUACCUGAAAUUGAUAAUUCAUUAAAAUUGUACUACGGUCAUUAGGGUGACCGGACAAUUAGCCCCUUUCAACGACACCUCCCACUGUGUGACAAGAGAACCUGAGUAAAGGCGAAUUACUGUCGGCCUACUGUCAAGGGUUCCCUAAGGCUGGCCUAAAAUUUUCAUCCUGAGCCAGUGACUUGAUGAAGGAAUCCAACUUAUCAUGAACUUUGGGCGGCAGUUUCUCUGUCAUCUUGGAAAGAACCUCAUCAGGUUCAACCCCUUCGUACAUAUCGGUCUGGAG